GACGAACGCUGGCGGCGUGCCUAAUACAUGCAAGUCGAACGCAGUGGGGAUGGGUGAUUAACAAGUGGGUAACCUCCCAGCAGAGGGGAUAACACUUGGAAACAGGUGCUAAACCGAAAUUGAUGGAUGGACCCGCGGUGCAUUAGCUAGUGGGUGGGGUAACGGCCCACCAAGGCCAAGAUGCAUAGCGGACCGGAGAGGGUGAUCGGCCACACUGGGACUGAGACACGGCCCAGACUCCUACGGGAGGCAGCAGUGGGGAAUCUUCGGCAAUGGACGAAAGUCUGACCGAGCAACGCCGCGUGAGUGAAGAAGGUUUUCGGAUCGUAAAACUCUGUUGUUGGAGAAGCGGUAUCUAACCAGAAAGCCACGGCUAACUACGUGCCAGCAGCCGCGGUAAUAC
rnacentral:rRNA from 1 species